rnacentral:lncRNA from 1 species
UUAUUAUUAUUUAUUUUAAGAAAAAUCACAAUGAUGAUAGGAGGGUUUAGUAAGUAUUUUUUAUGGCUUGCAGAAGCUGGAAAAGAAUUCAAGAGUCUAGUUACCAAAAGCAAGUUUGAACUUCCCCUUCAUUCUGUUCUUAAUAGACACCAAUUCACUUCUGUUUCUUCUACACUUGGCACCGAUAUGUUUCUUCAUGCAGAUAAGCUGUACGUUUAAUUUCCUUUAUUUACAUAGAUCAGAUGUUUACGUAUAAAUUGCUCUUCCACUCUUGAAAACACUUAGAAGUUUUAGCACUCUUCUGUUAAAAGCACAAGUGGGGCAAAAAGAAGUUUACAAAUAAAUUCUGUCAUGACAAAACACUAAAAUCUGAGUAAAGCUUUGUUGCAGGCUAAGAAAUAAGUACAAUAAAUUCUUAAAAGAAUUAUCAUUGGCAUACAUUCAUAUUUGAAUGCGUAGAUGUGCAUGUUUAAUAUCCAAAUUCAUAACGACUUCUACAAUGUUCCACAAAAUACCAUCUUUCAGUAGAAUUCUGUCAGGUGGCUGAGGCACAUUAGUAAGACAAACAUUGUAAAACUGCAUGAAAACUAGAACCACGUAGAAUGAAAGCCAACAGAACUAGUCGGGCUAUUCCUUCCAGUCUGAACUGGUUAUUAUUCCAGACUUAGUCCUUUAACUGUUAUGAAGCGCACGGUUUCCUAUGCUUCCAUGGAUCUUUGAAAACUCCUGGUAGCUUCCAAAAGCCACAGCAAAGCUCACAAGUGCUUUCAGCUGAGAAUGCAAUCAUUGCUUUUCAUCACAACUGCAAUCCUUCACAGAUCCAAAAGCAUUCUUCACAUGUAUGUUUAGUGGAUGCUUGUGGAGUGAGGCGGGGUAGCUCUGGUCAGUCUUAUUAGUCCGUAUUUGUUAACUGCAGUACAGUUUUCAUCUUCUAAGGGUGUAUUAUGAGCCUUCUGAAUUCAAAGUAACACAUUAUUUUCUCUCACGUUUUUGGUUUUGUGAGCCUGGUGACAUUAAUCCCCACUCUCCAGCGCUUCAUUAACAAUUCAGUUAAUCGGUCUUAUAAGUUGGACAAAACACAGCCAUGGCUCUGGUUUGUAUAUCAGGCUUUCCCACCAGCUUAAUAGCUGCUAUGCAAGAAGAGCCUGAGAGGAUCAGGGGUCUCUGUGCACUAGUUUGGUUGUUCAGAAUCUGUACCAGACAGAUAUAAUGAAAAAUAUACAAAAACAUCUCUGAAUUUUUUAUCUUUUGGUGGCUGACCAAGGCAGCUACACAGAUUGUAUCAGCAGCACCCACAUCAAGAUCCAUUAUCACACACACACACACACAGUGAGCUAUUUCAUUUGCUUUGCUCCCAGGUGCCUGCAUCAUAUCCCAAGUUGUUUGGUUGGUACAUUCACUUCAUACAGGAUAUUUAAAAAAAAAAAAGUUUGAACUGCCUAAAAGCAAUGGCAUAACAAAACAUAAACUUCUCAUUUUUUUGGAGAGGUAAGAAAAAGUUAAACAUACUGAAUGCACUUGAGGCACACCCAUUUGUCAUAGGAGUAAAGGUAAGAACAUCUCCUGUCAUUAAGGCCAUAUAUUGGUGUGCAACACUGCUUCACAGGACUAACCAUACAGAAGUACUCAGGUCUAAGUCACACUCUCAAAAAUGUUUCAAACACCAUGGACUGUUUUCUCACACAAUUUCAGUCUCUGCUGUUUAUACUAUACUUUUUUGUUUCCUUCUUUUUUUUUUUUCUCUUUUUUUUUCCCCCAGGAAGAAUGCAGGCUCUCUAUCCAGUUUCAAUGGUCACCAUCAUUUUUCUUAGUUCUCCAAAAGUGUGCGCUGAACAGGUGGCUCAGAUUGCGCUCCUCUAUGGCUGUCCAUAUUCACAUUCUCUUCAUCGCUUUGUUUGAAACAGAGUUUCUUCUUCUGGUAAGCAAUGAAACUAGAUACUGCUCCAAUUGCAGUAGCAGCCACAGCACUUACAAUUCCAGCUAUUGCUCCCUGAGAAGCCUCACCAUCUCCGCCCUUAUUUGAAACUGAGUCCCCUUCUCCAUUGCCACCACUGCUGCCACCUCCACCUCCUUCUCUUGGUAAAUCACCAUCAAAUAGAUCUGAAUCAUCAAAGGUGUCAGAUUCUCUAGGCUUUACAGGUGUAGCUGGCCUGGGGUUAUCAGAGUCUUUAGGCUUUGCAGGUAGAUCUGGCUUGGAACUAGGCUGAAGAGCAUCUUCCAAGUUAAAGCCAUAAUCAUCUGAUGGUGGCUUCUGAGGUGAAACAGGUUUCACUGUAGCUCCUCUGACAGGGGCCAGGAGGGCCAGGAGCGCCGCCAGGAGAAGCCCGCUGUGCCGCAUGGCUGUUGCCCGCUAAGCUCGGUGUUCCCCCUCCCUCCACGGGAACGCCGACAGGCACCCCGCCCGACCGGCUAGAGGGCGGCUCCCCAGCCUGAUAGGGCGGAGUGGCCGGGGAGCCGUGCCCCCGCGGGGGGAGAAUCGGAAGGAGGGCGGCGCGGCCCGCCGGGGCCGUUCGGAUUAAGGGCGGUGCCCGCUGCCGCGGGACAGAGCCUGGCCUGGAGGGAGGCGUAUGCUGCUGUCUCCGGGCGGUAUUCCCGCUGAGGUAUCCCCCAAAACAGGCCCUGCUUCCUAGGUGGAAUGAGCUGCGGGGCUUAAAUACUGACAUAUGCGUGGUGGUGGUUGUGGAGAGGUAUGCAUUCUUGCAGCUGGCUUUCAUAGAAUCAUUGUAGGUUGUAAAAAACUGCUACGAUCAUCCAGUCCAACCAUCAACCCAGCUCCACCAUGCCUCUCUGAUCCGUUUUGUGUCAGCCUGUCUUCCUCCGGGCAGUCUGUGCCUCUUCCAGCAUUCGUGGGGCUUUGCUGACUGGAAAAGUACAAAAUCACCUUGUUAGUGAAUCACCAUCAUGAACUGAUGGGAAUAUUUCUCCUCCUUGACAGAUUUAACCUGAGGCAACAAGGAGUUUAAUUGUAGUCAUAAAAUUACUGUCUUAAAAUUUAGGAUAAACUCCCAUAAAACAGGUGAGUUUUUCAGGAGGAGCACUGAAGUUCAUGGAGGGCUGGAGGGUGUGAGUAGCAAGCAGUGGCUUUUCCAGUCAUAACACCUACGGAGUCAGUGCUGUGUUGCUCUUACCUUCUUUUUGGGACUCCAAGCCUAGAGGAUAAGAUUGAACAAACGCACCUGUAAUUCUGCAGUGCUAUGUGGUUACCUGUAGGAAAUUAUUAACAUGCUCUAAAGAUGUCCUUUAACAGAGCAUUUGUUUAUAACUGUUGCUAAUCAUCACCUCAUCACCUGCUGAGUUGCUCUCCUGAUAAAAAGAGCAAUAAUUUUAGUACUUCUCACAGCACUGUGCAAUUCUCUAUUUAACUCUUUUGUACCAAAACUUUAUUUUUUUUUAAAGAAUUGCAUAACUUGCAGAGAAAGCCUACUUUACCUCUCUGAAAUAACCACAUCAAGGCGGGCCCAUUUUAUUUCCCUUAAUCUAAAUUAGUCCUUAGCAGUGUUGCCAUCUUCAGAUGAGAUGGGAGCAACCACCUGUUUGUGGUGAUGAGGUAGUUGUGAUGAGUGUAAUUGCAUUUCACACUCGAGCUUCC